rnacentral:rRNA from 1 species
CACAAGCAGUGGAACAUGUGGUUCAAUCGACGCUACGCGAAGAACCUCACCAGGGUUUGACAUAUAGGUAGUAGGAACCUGAAAGGGAGACGACUCGUUAAGCCGAGUGCCUAUACAGGUGUUGCAUGGCUGUCGUCAGCUCGUGCCGUGAGGUGUUGGGUUAAGUCCCGCAACGAGCGCAACCCUCGCCUUUAGUUGCCAGCAUUCAGUUGGGCACUCUAGAGGGACUGCCGGUGUCAAACCGGAGGAAGGUGGGAUGACGUCAAGUCCUCAUGGCCUUUAUGUCUAGGGCUACACACGUACUACAAUGGCCGGUACAAAGGGCAGCCACUCAGCGAUGAGGCGCUAAUCCCAUAAAGCCGGUCUCAGUCCGGAUCGCAGUCUGCAACUCGACUGCGUGAAGUUGGAAUCGCUAGUAAUCGUAGAUCAGCAUGCUACGGUGAAUACGUUCCCGGGCCUU